rnacentral:snoRNA from 1 species
UUGCACACAAUUUAUAAAAUCUAGAGAAAAAUUGUGGGGACUGUGCAGUGACCACUUACAGUAGCCCCCUUGGUAGUACAUGCAGCCAGUUGCAUUUUGGAUUGCUGCAGGGGACCUUGGAGACAGGU